UACGUAGGGGGCAAGCGUUGUCCGGAAUCAUUGGGCGUAAAGCGCGUGUAGGCGGUUCGGUAAGUCUGCUGUGAAAGUCCAGGGCUCAACCCUGGGAUGCCGGUGGAUACUGUCGGACUAGAGUACGGAAGAGGCGAGUGGAAUUCCCGGUGUAGCGGUGAAAUGCGCAGAUAUCGGGAGGAACACCAAUUGCGAAGGCAGCUCGCUGGGACGUUACUGACGCUGAGACGGCGAAAGCGUGGGGAGCAAACAGG
rnacentral:rRNA from 1 species